UGAAUGUCCCAGAAGUUCAAAGAACAUGCGAUGAAUCUUAUAUAAACGGUUCCACUUUCCCUUUAAUCUAUCUAUGCCGUAAUCCAUUUUUGUUGAAGCUAUCAUGGUUUCAUUGAUCAUACCCCAUUCGUCUUUCAUGAAUGUAGAACAUUGUAAUGCGUUUGAUUUCACUUUUUCGUAAAGAAUUUCGAUAAAAGCAUGUUCGGUCUCGUCCGACCAUGACAUUGGUUUCUUAUCCCUACCUCUUUGACCACCCAUUUUCAAGCUACACUGAAUAUACUUCAAAUUAUCAAGAAAUAUAUAAGACCGUCCAUAGUCUACUCCAUACGUGAUACAUUGAAAGACAAGAUAUGUUUUGCAUGUGAUUUGCUUUUUCAAGUAUGGAAAAGAUUGCUUUUUAAACAUUUUUUCUGCAAUCAGAUUAAUGAUUCUUAUUUUUUCUUAGAUGAUACAAUCUUAUUUUUUCUUCCCUACUUGAUAUAAUGUUUAUGUUUAUGAUUGUUCAAAUCGAUCUUGAAUCACUUCUGAUCGUGAACUCGUCAACAUGGAGAUAUUCUAAAUAUCAUUUUUAAAUCCAUGUACUGGGUUAAAAUAUAAAACUUCGGCUGAUUGAUGACAAUGGAAAGGGUAACACUCAUUACUUCCGGGAAAAGGGCACCAAUUAAUCAUGUUAGUGAAUCCUUCCUUUCAUAAGAUCAGUCCACAAAAGGGAACUUGCCUUAAGCGUGGUCCAGCAAGAUUACAAUUUCAGACUUGCCACCGAAAAUACUCAAGCCACAGAGAAUCAGCUAAGGUUGAAGCAUCCCACGAAAUUAGCAUGAAACAAUUAUUGGAAAGAAAAUAAGCUAAAAGUAGCCCAAUCAUUGAACUUCGG
rnacentral:lncRNA from 1 species